CUGCGCUAGGCGGGGAGCCAGCGGUGCCCUGAACCCGCAAUCCGCUACAGCGGGGCUGAAUGUCCCCCGCGGCUUACGAUGUGUGAGGCUGCGGCAGAAAAGGAAUGUUGAUAUUAAGGUCUUAUGCAACGGACUGCCGUGAACCGUGUCAGGAUAGGGAUAUAGCAGCACUAAGCGG
rnacentral:SRP_RNA from 1 species